GCCGGUGUGGCUCAGUGGAUAGAGCUUCAUCCUGCAGACUGAAGGGUCCCAGGUUCAAUUCUGGUCAACGGCA
rnacentral:tRNA from 1 species